AUUAUAUAAUCAAAAACCAAAUAUGUUUCUUGGGGUGGGACCAACUAGCUUAUUAAUAAUACCUAAAACUCUCCUAAUACUCUGUGCUUCUAUGUUCCUCCCCAUAAUUUAAAUAAUAUAUCCAACAAGAUAAAAAGCUUUUCUACCAAACCUAAAAAAAUACAAGGACAGAACUAAGUAGAAUAUUUUAUCUUGCAGACUUCUUAAACUGCUAAAGUUAGCAUAUGUCUGUGAUUUCAGCACUCAAGAGUGCUGAGGCAGAAGGAUUACUAUAAGGCCAGUCUGGCUAUAUACUGAAUUCCAGACUAGCCAGACUUACCUAACAAAAUCAUGUCUUAAAAACUCAGAUGGAUAAAAUCCCUAUACUGGUUUGGCAAAAUUUUGUCAUAGUGAGUCCUGUCACAUUAAGUUAGAACCCCUUUUUUUUUUUUAAGUUUCUACUCAGUAAUUUUCCAGUAUAAAUCUCACCACUACCCCUCAAUUAUAAAUAUCCACUUGUCUAAUUGGAGUCAAUUAGGUCCAAUCUCUGUGUCCCGCUGUAAAAUCUAGUUGCUAUAGUUCCUAUGCCAUGACUGCCCCUGAAUGGUCCAUUUCCUAUGCUUUUAAAAAUAAUUAAAAUCAUUGUCAUCUU
rnacentral:lncRNA from 1 species